rnacentral:lncRNA from 1 species
CCCUAUGAAUAAUUAUUUUAAUUGAACUAAGAUGAAUUUGAAAAAAUAUAUACACAUUUAAGAUACAAACCUAAUGAACUAAUUCGAUUGUUGAACAGGUUUACAUUAUACUUCUCCUAAGUUAAUACUUGAAAUUAAAUUAAGUUUUUUUUCUGCCUUUUUUGUACAUAAAUAAAUAGAUGAUUUAAUUGGUUACUGUUGUGACUCCAUGGUUAAUGGCUAUCAUUUGGUAGGUAAGAAGUUAAUUUUAUUUGAUGGUGAAAUUUAACAUGAUAGAAAUGAAAAGGACGAAGGCAUUGGGAUUGGGGUAGGGUUGGUUUUGUUUGGUAGUGGAAGAGUCAGAGUACUGGGGGAGGGGACAGGUAAUACAGAAGCCGUGGUAUUCAUUGCCAAAGGGACCCCCC